rnacentral:rRNA from 1 species
ACUCCUACGGGAGGCAGCAGUGGGGAAUAUUGCACAAUGGGGGAAACCCUGAUGCAGCCAUGCCGCGUGUGUGAAGAAGGCCUUGGGUUGUAAAGACACUUUCUAGUAGGGAGGAAGGUAGUGUAGUUAACACCUGCAUUAUUUGUACGUUACCUACAGAAGAAGCACCGGCUAACUCCGUGCCAGCAGCCGCGGUAAGUACGGAGGGUGCGAGCGUUAAUCGGAAUUACUGGGCGUAAAGCGCAUGCAGGCGGCCUGUUAAGUCAGAUGUGAAAGCCCGGGGUCUUAACCUCGGAAUUGCAUUUGAAACUGGCAGGCUAGAGUCUGUAGAGGGGUUAGAAUUUCAGGUGUAGCGGUGAAAUGCGUAGAGAUCUGAAGG